CUCAGGAUUAAAGCGAGGAACUGUAUUUCAGACCGUCUCAGGAGAAGUAGCAGGAGGCUGCCUCGCUUCUUUGCCCUUUCCCCCGGAGGAACCAUCUACAGUCCUGUCCUGAAGGGAGUUCCUCCUACGUCUGGUCGGACCUUUGUAUGGCCUGCCAAGGGGAGGACAGGAACGGACCAUGGUCUCCACAUCUGACGUCAACCCUCCAAGCUCCUUCCCUUUACCUGACCUGCAGAGAAGCAUACACGUGGGAGGCAAGGAGACAUUCAGAGAUGAGAGCCCUGGUCAGGGAGGCAGAGGCCUGCCCGAGCCUGUAAUCCCAUCUACUUGGGAGGCUGAGGCAGGAGAAUCACGAGAAUCUGGGAGAUGGAAAUUGCACUCAUUCCUUGGAGUUUUCCUAACCACAUCUCAGAUGAUACCUGAGUGAGAACAUGUCCUUCCAGAAAGCCUGCACCACAAAGUCGCUCCCUGGGCGUGGUCCCCCAGAGGCUGUGUGCUUUCUCCUUUUGACGUCUGCAUCUGUGCAUUGGGCUGUAGACAGCACUGCAAGGCCAAGGACAAAAGCAGCAGUGCAGAUGGAGGCUCCUGCAUAGACGUUUAAAAAAAAAAAAAGAGAAGAAAUGUGUUGGCUUAUAGCUGUCAGCUUUAGCAACUGAUUAAAUACUUUGAGUGUGCAAUAAAAUAAACUUAAUCAAAUCUCGUAUGUCA
rnacentral:lncRNA from 1 species